UCUACGGGCGGCAGCAGUGGGGAAUAUUGGACAAUGGGCGAAAGCCUGAUCCAGCCAUGCCGCGUGUGUGAAGAAGGCCUUCGGGUUGUAAAGCACUUUCAGUGGGGAAGAAAGCCUUGGGGCUAAUACCCUCGAGGAAGGACAUCACCCACAGAAGAAGCACCGGCUAACUCCGUGCCAGCAGCCGCGGUAAUACGGAGGGUGCGAGCGUUAAUCGGAAUUACUGGGCGUAAAGCGCGCGUAGGCGGUCUGAUAAGCCGGUUGUGAAAGCCCCGGGCUCAACCUGGGAACGGCAUCCGGAACUGUCAGGCUAGAGUGCAGGAGAGGAAGGUAGAAUUCCCGGUGUAGCGGUGAAAUGCGUAGAGAUCGGGAGGAAUACCAGUGGCGAAGGCGGCCUUCUGGACUGACACUGACGCUGAGGUGCGAAAGCGUGGGUAGCAAACAGGAUUAGAUACCCGUGUAGUC
rnacentral:rRNA from 1 species